rnacentral:rRNA from 1 species
CCUACGGGAGGCAGCAGUAGGGAAUAUUGGUCAAUGGACGAAAGUCUGAACCAGCCAUGCCGCGUGAAGGAUGAAGGUCCUCUGGAUUGUAAACUUCUUUUAUCUGGGACGAAAAAAGGGCUUUCUAGCUCACUUGACGGUACCAGAGGAAUAAGCACCGGCUAACUCCGUGCCAGCAGCCGCGGUAAUACGGAGGGUGCAAGCGUUAUCCGGAUUUACUGGGUUUAAAGGGAGCGUAGGUGGGCAGGUAAGUCAGUGGUGAAAUCUCUGGGCUUAACCCGGAAACUGCCAUUGAUACUAUCUGUCUUGAAUAUCCUGGAGGUAAGCGGAAUAUGUCAUGUAGCGGUGAAAUGCUUAGAUAUGACAUAGAACACCCAUUGCGAAGGCAGCUUACUACGGGACUUAUUGACACUGAGGCUCGAAAGCGUGGGGAUCAAACAGGAUUAGAUACCCUGGUAGUCCACGCCCUAAACGACUAGGAUACUCGACAUCAGCGAUACACUGUUGUGUCUGAGCGAAGCAUAGUACUCCACCGUGGAGUACGACGCGAGGUUGAAACUACGAAAGAGUUAGACGNGNGAGAGNGACGAGACGACGAGGAGGAGG